CUGUAGGGUAGUUAUGUACAAUGGUACAGAAGCAUGAAUUAGUGUGGAAUGUAUUGGGAACCUGCUAAAUUGAAGAUGGAUCCAAAAGGUUCUGCAGUGAUUACAAUGGGGAAAAUCAAUUACAAGUCAGCUCAUAGGGACCUUGCUCUUGAUUUGCUGCCAAAAAAAAGAGUUGAGAUUUUAUCCUAUUGCAAGGCAGACACUGAAGAGCUUUUGCUUAAGCAAAAACCCUCCUAGGAUCCUUCUGGCUUCUAGCAUCAAUAACUGAUUUGAAGACAACAAGGAAAGAUAAGGAAACAUGCUUAGAAGGCUACUCCAACAGUCCAGGACCCAGUCUGAAAGUUGCACCCAUCACUUUGUUCCUACAUUACAUUGGCCAUAACUCAGUGAUACGAUUACACUUAACUGGAAGGGAGACUGAAGUAUGAGGUCAAGAUAUACCAAAGAGGAAAUGGAAAUGGAUUUCAGAGAAUACAUCACAGUCUCUACCUUGGCUCUCAACUCUCCAUCUCCGGCUCUGACUUAUACUUGAGCAAACCUUCAAUUCACUAAUGCUACAGAAUAUCCAUGCAUGGCUUUCCCAUGUUUUCCUCCAACCCAACAAGUUCAAAACUGACUUAACAACAGAUGUGUAAGCUUCAUAAAAGCCAAGCCUCAUAAUUAGCAUGAGAGUCCGCAUCAGAGUGAUUAAAUGAGUGCUAAAGGCCAUCCGGAUAGUUAAGCCAUGAUUGUGAAGCUCCCCAGCCACGUGAAACUAUGCGUGCUGUGAUGAGAAAUUCCGAAGCACACAUUAGAAGCAAUGACGGUUAUCAGCCUAGCAGAGGCCGAUGGGCUUCCUCGGAUCCUGCCAUGGCACCAAAGGAAUGCGAGAAAAUGAUUGGCUGGGGAGCUCUUCCACAUUGUCAGGAACGCUGGAAAAAGGCUGAAAGAGAAUGAUGAGAAAAAACCUGGAGAAUGGCAAAUGCUUCACUGAAGCAAUCUGCUACAUUCCUCCUUGCAGAGUGGGAUGCCUGGCCUGAGAUGAGAGAAGUAAUAGGACUGAGAGGAAGUGAAAGAAAUAGAACCCAAGGAGAGCAGGACAGAAAGAAAAGAUUUAUAGCAUGGAUUGUAGCCACUCUAAUAUUUGGGCUCCUCCUGAACUUAAUCCAACUUCCACGUUACUGAAAAUUUAUUAUUUCCCUUAUGGAUUUGUAGAAAACAGAUAGCAAAUGAAUAAGGAAAAUGGAAAGAGACCCAAAAAAGAGACAAAAAAUGGAGAGGACUGUGAGUCCAAUUCCUGUUUCUCCUGCUUUUGUCAGACCAAGUAAAACACUUAAAAUCGUCAGUGGAUAUUGGCUGAACCUUGCCAUUUUGAAAGUGGCUAUUCAAACCUUUUAGAGACGGAGCUGGUCAUUGCCUCAGUUAUUGGCCAAGGUAUGACAUGAACUAAUAGCACUUCAGGGACAAUGGCCUUUCAAUGACCAUCAGGCAUCAGUGCUUCUAAAUUGGCCAAUUUUGAGUGUCAGGAGGCCAGAAGACAUACCAUCACAUAAGAAAAACACUUUAAUCCAGUCAUUAUAAAGUAGGAGCAAAACAGAGUGGCUGUGGUGUUUAUAGCUAUAGCUGUAAUCUCAGUCUAGGUCCAUUCAGUCAAGAAGAUUGUUUCCAGUCUACUAGAAAACACUUCCAAUAAGCCUGAAUUACAACCCCAAUAUCAUUUUAGUUUUUUAGAUUAACAUGUGAAAUAAAGAGUUUUUCUUAGUCACAGUUACUUUUACUGCCAAAAACCCAAUGAAUAUCUUUCCCUCUGGAACCAAAUACACUGUUUAAUUUUAAUCUCUUAGCUGACUGACACAGGAACAAAACUGGUUUUGCAUUUUCCCUUUUCAUUUACUUUUCUGCAAUUGAUCACUGGCCUUAAAAAGUUGAGAAGAUAUAUUUCAGUUGCCAUUUUCUGUACUGGUUUUCAUUCAUUAGUUUUCCUUCUCCUCCUUCCUUUACUCUGCAAUCUCCUUCUCUUCUAUCACAUCAGUUAUAUCUCUUGCCACAAGCUCACAUAAUUUCUGUCGUGUGUCUUAGUAAUAUCUAAUUUGUUACGAUGUAUUAUGCAUGCAAAUGUAAUUGCAGAGGAGGAGUUAAGCAGAAUGACAGCUUAAAGAGGCAUAUUUUUUUUGACUCUGUCACUCCCAGAAAACAGCAUAAAGAGAUCUGGGACAACUAGAUGUCGUGAUGAAAACAUUAGAACGCCAGGAUAUCAAAUUAAACAAUAGAACUGUCCCACUGAACCCCCAUCAUCUCUCACAUGCAAUGAGAGCCAGUAACAUAGAAGAAAGCUAUAUGAAGUUGAGACAAUUAUUUGUCCUAAAAUCUGCCUUUAAUUUUAACACUGUGAAAAAUAAAAUGAAAAUUGUGACUUCAGCACAACACUUUUGGGUGAGAAAUGUAUAAUUCUCCUUUGUCACACUAUAUAAUUAGUUGUUUACAGACCACUAGGUUUGUGAAAAUUCAUAUUAGCAAAAAUAGUAACCUGCAAGCUAACUGAAUAAAUUCUAAUGGCACUAAUGACAGUCUUCAAAAUUAAGGGAUUUUACUUUGAUCCUAUACCCAAAGAAGAAAAGUACAAUGUUAUGGGAAGUAACUUACCCUUGUCUUACAAAUCAAGUAUUGUCCAACCCAACAUAUCCAUUAAAAGAUGACAAAGAAAAUUUGUUUCUUAAAAUAUGGUGCUAGAAAAAUAAUCUGGAAAUAAUUUGUUUCAACUGCUACCAGGAAAUCUAAAAUAUGGUCUCAAAUGGAAUUACUUUGCAUAUAAUAGAUUUCAGACAAUAAAUGUUAACCCCAGAAAUAAAUUCAUUUGACUCAGUGUUUACACAGUAAAAAGUGAAGUAGGACCUUCUCUAAAUAGCACUUGAGCUAGAGCUGGUAAACCUUGUAAACCAGUCCUUUCUCCUUUUCAGACACACCAUUAUAUGUGCUCAUUAUUUCUGGAGACCCAGAAAAGUUUGGAAGACACUCACAGAAAGGGAUUUAUAUGUGUGGAGGAAUCUCCUAUACCUCUCUAACCCAAAGAGACUGAAAUUAGGAAACAGGCCUAAUUGAGAACAAAUAUUAGCUACAUAGGCUUGGCCCACUAUCCUGAAAGUUUAUUUCUAUUCAGUCAUAAUUUAGAUACUUAGGGAAAUUCCAAGAGGAAAAAAAAAAAAAACAUGCUCUCUCAACAUAUAGCAGAAGAUGGCAAUGAGAACAGCAGCUUAGGAUGGAUGGGAAAGCAGAAACCCAGGCCCAGAACUGCGGCUUCUCAGAAUUCUGAGAAGCUGAGAUUAAGCCUGGAGACUUUGUUCCUUCCUCUGUUUCUUUCAUUCUUUAAAAAUGUGUUACUAAUUUAUAUUUUCAGACCAGAAGGCAACCUUAUUUUCUUUACCAGUCUUGAAUCCAGACUGGCACAGCACUGUUAUAUUUGGGAAAAUACAAAUGGCUGUGGAAUUCUUGGGGAAGAUGUAGACAAGCCUUGACGUUGUACAAUUCCUUUUCACUAUGCACAUCCCUGCUUAGCCUGGGCAGAGCCUCUGUACAUGAGGACGAACAUGAAUACAAGAUGAACACCAACUGAUGUACUGACCUACAGACAUCUCAACAUUACAGCCGCUGUUAUGUCUGUGAAAGAGUUCACGUGGGCUUCCACUUCUUUACUACAUGAACUCCCAAAUACCCACUUUCAACUAUUUAUUCUUAUCCUCAUUUAUAGAAUAAAGCUGACCCAAAACACCACCACUAAGGGAGAAUGACUUUGCAACUAGUGGCAAGAUUAAAUAAUGUUGGAACUUUGUAGCCCAAGUUAGCACUGAAGAAAAGAUAGUUCAGACAAUAAACGUAUCAGUGCCAUGUGACCCUUGUCAGCAUAUUAAGGAAGUAAUGCAAUAAUAAUAAAUUGCACUGGAUUGGGAUGGACUAUGGUCACAAAUGGAAAUUGUGCCUUCAGCCCAAUACUGUCGGGGGAAAAAUGUAUAAAUCUCCUUUAUCACACUGUAUAAUUAGUUAUUUCAGACCAAAUAAGUAGAAAAAUAAGUAGUCUCUUGAAUGAUUCGACAUCUGAAGUGUCAGACAUCGCUUUGUAUGACAAUAAAACUCUGCCAGCUAAUCUUCAGGUUGUCUAAUAAUCUUGUCUCCUUGUCCUAAUCUCAGGUCAACCUUUGACCUGAAUUAAAGUGGGUCUGGUCAUCAAAAUCUAAACUACAGACAUAGCU
rnacentral:lncRNA from 10 species